UACCGGCGGCUCGAGUGGUGGCCGAUAUUAUUGAGUCUAAAGGGUCCGUAGCCGGCUUAGUUAGUCUUUUGGGAAAUCCAGCGGCUUAAUCGUUGGGCGUCCAUGAGAUACUGCUUUGCUUGGGACUGGGAGAGGUAGGAGGUACUCAAGGGGUAGGAGUGAAAUCCUGUAAUCCUUUGGGGACCACCGGUGGCGAAGGCGUCCUACCAGAACAGGUCCGACGGUGAGGGACGAAAGCUAGGGGCACGAACCGG
rnacentral:rRNA from 1 species